CCCAGACUCCUACGGGAGGCAGCAGUGGGGGAUAUUGCACAAUGGGGGGAACCCUGAUGCAGCGACGCCGCGUGGGUGAAGGAGCGUUUCGGCGCGUAAAGCCCUAUCGGCAGGGAAGAAGGAGGACGGUACCUGACUAAGAAGCCCCGGCUAACUACGUGCCAGCAGCCGCGGUAAUACGUAGGGGGCAAGCGUUAUCCGGAUUUACUGGGUGUAAAGGGGGCGCAGACGGCAGCGCAAGCCAGGAGUGAAAGCCCGGGGCCCAACCCCGGGACUGCUUUGGAAACUGUGCAUCUUGAGUACGGGAGGGGCAGGCGGAAUUCCUGGUGUAGCGGUGAAAUGCGUAGAUAUCAGGAGGAACACCGGCGGCGAAGGCGGCCUGCUGGACCGAAACUGACGUUGAGGCCCGAAAGCGUGGGGAGCAAACAGGAUUAGAUACCCGCGUAU
rnacentral:rRNA from 1 species